CACCAUCCAUAUUGCUAUAGCUACCACAACAUAAGCGCACAUGAGUUUGAUUCCCACCAUUCUACGUACUGUGUCAAAACUAGCACUACUACAAAGUUGGCCUAAUGUAACACCUUGUGGUAACACUUUAUAAGUCAAGAUAUAAAUAGAUAUUUAGGUAGCACUUUUGUAACACUUAGAUAAUAGGUAGCACUUGUAUGUAACACUUCAAAGUAACACUUUACAUAGAGUAACACUUUCAUGUAUUUGUCAAAAAAAAAAAAAAAAAAAAAAAAAAAAAAAAAAGGACCCUUGAAUUGCCUAACUCUCUCUCUCUCUCCUCUCUUUCACUUUUCCCUCUUUUCUCCAUCCAUCUCUGCGAUUCACACUUUCCAUCUUCUUCAUCAAUGGAAAGGCUCAAAAUCUCUCUGAAAUUUUACCCCAAUUGUUAGAUCCUUACUCCUCACCAAACUCUAGCUUCUUAACAAGAACUCAACAACCAAACCCAAACCCUAGCUUCGACUCAAUCGAACUAUCAAACCGCAAGAAAACAACCAAAAAUACAGCUGACGAGAUCAAUUCGGCGGCGAAGAAGGGACGACGAGCCAUUGAAAACGCCGUCUUCGUAUGAUGCAGCUACUGCUGCUGCCGGAAAUCCCUCCCUCUCUCCUCAAUUUUCACUCAACAGAUCCCAAUUUUCAUUCUCACUCUUCAAUUUCCACAAUAUUAGCAAAAAUAUUGUCUAAACAACAUGAUUUCUUCUAGUGAGCUCAAAUCCAUCGAAUUUUAUCGGACACAACCACCCUAUAUCCAGUACACUUUAUCCAACCUACUAACAAAACUUGUGAAGCUAUAAAGCCAGUACUCGCAAAAAGGGAGGCAGCAGAGGAAGGUGCUGAGGAGACUGUGAAUGAUCAUGGCCUAGUUCAGCACUGUUGCUACUUAUGUUGUGCUUUACUGCUACCUAGCCUUAAGCAUUGUAGUUUAUUUAUAUUUUAUAUUUUUUUGAUGAAAUUGUUACACUACAAGCAUUUAUUAAUAAAAAUAUCUAAGUUUGUU